CCUACGGGGGGCUGCAGUGAGGAAUAUUGGUCAAUGGACGAGAGUCUGAACCAGCCAAGUAGCGUGAAGGAUGACUGCCCUAUGGGUUGUAAACUUCUUUUAUAUGGGAAUAAAAUGUUCCACGUGUGGGAUUUUGUAUGUACCAUAUGAAUAAGGAUCGGCUAACUCCGUGCCAGCAGCCGCGGUAAUACGGAGGAUCCGAGCGUUAUCCGGAUUUAUUGGGUUUAAAGGGAGCGUAGGUGGAUUGUUAAGUCAGUUGUGAAAGUUUGCGGCUCAACCGUAAAAUUGCAGUUGAAAAGGGCAGUCUUGAGUACAGUAGAGGUGGGCGGAAUUCGUGGUGUAGCGGUGAAAUGCUUAGAUAUCACGAAGAACUCCGAUUGCGAAGGCAGCUUACUGGACUGCAACUGACACUGAGGCUCGAAAGUGUGGGUAUCAAACAGGAUUAGAUACCCUGGUAGUC
rnacentral:rRNA from 1 species